GCCGCGGUAGCCUAGUGGUCAUGGCUUCGGAUUAGUGGUCCUAUGACCGUAGUUCAAAAUUACGAGGUCCGAGGCA